UACGUAGGGUGCAAGCGUUGUCCGGAAUUAUUGGGCGUAAAGAGCUCGUAGGCGGUCUGUCGCGUCUGCUGUGAAAACUCGGGGCUCAACCCCGGGCCUGCAGUGGGUACGGGCAGACUAGAGUGCGGUAGGGGAGACUGGAAUUCCUGGUGUAGCGGUGAAAUGCGCAGAUAUCAGGAGGAACACCGGUGGCGAAGGCGGGUCUCUGGGCCGUAACUGACGCUGAGGAGCGAAAGCAUGGGGAGCGAACAGGAUUAGAAACCCUAGUAGUCC
rnacentral:rRNA from 1 species